GUGCUUACUUCAGUAGUACAUAUUACUAAAAUUGGAGCAAUACAGAGAAGAUUAGCAUGGCCCGUGUACAGGGAUGACACAAAUUCAUGAAGUGUUCCAUGUGUUA